rnacentral:lncRNA from 10 species
AACUAAGAGUGAGAACGAACUCACUCCCUUCCUGAGAGAUCCACCCACAAGAUCCAAACACCUCUAAUCAGGCCCCUCCUCCAACACUGGGGAUCAAAUUUUAACACGAGGGUUGGCGGAGCCAAACCGUGUCUAAACCAUAGGAGUAAGCUUUUCUGUGUUAUUUGUGACAAUUCAUCAAUCUGUAUGCUUAUAAAUCAGUGUAUGCCAUACCGUGAUUAAACAGGUUUAAAAAUUCUUCUAGAAGUUUUAACAGGGAACAAUAGCUAGAAUAUUUUGUUAAGUGGAAAAAGCAAUUUCAGAAGUGUGCAGGUGACUUCUGGGGAAUUGGUCACAGUCUCUUUUUUAACCUGGCAGGGGUUACACAUAUAUUAAUUUUACAAUUCAUUAAACUGUUUAUGUACAUUGUAUGCAUGUUCUUCUCUAUUAGCUAUAUAUCACCAUUUUAAAAACUAGAGAGAGAAGGACUUUCAGAUGGGUAGGAUGAGGAGCUUAGUGGACCUUCUCCCCAACAAAGCAAGCAUAACUGGUGGAAAUUAUUAAAAAAUAAAACAACAACCCCCUGAGAGUUUUCAAAGGUCAUACAGCAAAUGGAGACACAUUUAUUCAAGAAAAUAGGCCGGGUGUGGUGGCU